CCUACGGGGUGCAGCAGUAGGGAAUAUUGCUCAAUGGGGGAAACCCUGAAGCAGCAACGCCGCGUGGAGGAUGAAGGUUUUCGGAUUGUAAACUCCUUUCGUUAGAGAAGAAAAUGACGGUAUCUAACGAAUAAGCACCGGCUAACUCCGUGCCAGCAGCCGCGGUAAUACGGAGGGUGCAAGCGUUACUCGGAAUCACUGGGCGUAAAGAGCGCGUAGGCGGGAUAGCAAGUCAGAUGUGAAAUCCUAUGGCUUAACCAUAGAACUGCAUUUGAAACUGUUAUUCUAGAGUAUGGGAGAGGUAGGUGGAAUUCUUGGUGUAGGGGUAAAAUGCGUAGAGAUCAAGAGGAAUACUCAUUGCGAAGGCGACCUGCUAGAACAUAACUGACGCUGAUGCGCGAAAGCGUGGGGAGCAAACAGGAUUAGAUACCCUUGUAGUC
rnacentral:rRNA from 1 species